GAUGAACGCUGACAGAAUGCUUAACACAUGCAAGUCAACUUGAAUUUGGGUUUUUAACUUAGGUUUGGGUGGCGGACGGGUGAGUAACGCGUAAAGAACUUGCCUCACAGCUAGGGACAACAUUUGGAAACGAAUGCUAAUACCUAAUAUUAUGAUAAUAGGGCAUCCUAUAAUUAUGAAAGCUAUAAGCGCUGUGAGAGAGCUUUGCGUCCCAUUCGCUAGUUGGAGAGGUAACGGCUCACCAAGGCGAUGAUGGGUAGCCGGCCUGAGAGGGUGAUCGGCCACAAGGGGACUGAGACACGGCCCUUACUCCUUCGGGAGGCAGCAGUGGGGAAUAUUGGACAAUGGACCGAGAGUCUGAUCCAGCAAUUCUGUGUGCACGAUGAAGUUUUUCGGAAUGUAAAGUGCUUUCAGUUGGGAAGAAACAAAUGACGGUACCAACAGAAGAAGUGACGGCUAAAUACGUG
rnacentral:rRNA from 1 species